UGGGGAAUAUUGCACAAUGGGCGCAAGCCUGAUGCAGCCAUGCCGCGUGUGUGAAGAAGGCCUUCGGGUUGUAAAGCACUUUCAGCGAGGAGGAAGGUGGUGAACUUAAUACGUUCAUCAAUUGACGUUACUCGCAGAAGAAGCACCGGCUAACUCCGUGCCAGCAGCCGCGGUAAUACGGAGGGUGCAAGCGUUAAUCGGAAUUACUGGGCGUAAAGCGCACGCAGGCGGUUUGUUAAGUCAGAUGUGAAAUCCCCGGGCUCAACCUGGGAACUGCAUUUGAAACUGGCAAGCUAGAGUCUCGUAGAGGGGGGUAGAAUUCCAGGUGUAGCGGUGAAAUGCGUAGAGAUCUGGAGGAAUACCGGUGGCGAAGGCGCCCCCCUGGACGAAGACUGACGCUCAGGUGCGAAAAGCGUGGGGAGCAAAACAGGAUUAGAUACCCUGGUAGUCCACGCUGUAAAACGAUGUCGAUUUUGGAGGUUGUGCCCUUGAGGCGUGGCUUCCGGAGCUAACGCGUUAAAUCGACCGCCUGGGGAGUACGGCC
rnacentral:rRNA from 1 species